rnacentral:sRNA from 1 species
AGAUGUGGUAGUGGAGGGACAGCUUAUAGAAAGUUGAGAUGGUCCUAAUGUAGGUAAAUAGAAAUCUCAAACUGAUAUUGAUACUUUCAGGAUAUUUUGAAUAAUCUUGAAUCAUGUGACCUUGAGGAUGAUGAUCUUAUGCUUGAUGUGGAUCUGCCUGAGGAUGCACCUCUUGAAAAUGUGGAGUGUGACAAUAUGAACCGCUUUGACCGACCAGACAGAAAUGUUCGGCAGCCUCAGGAAGGUUUUUGGAAAAGGCCACCCCAGAGGUGGAGUGGACAGGAGCAUUACCACCUCAGCCACCCUGACCACUAUCAUCACCAUGGAAAAAGUGACUUGAGCAGCAUGAUGGAAGUGGUUCAUUGCAUGAUAUUCAACUGUCAUUGCCAUCCAGUCCAGAACCAGAAGAUGGUGAUAAAGUAUAUAAGAAUGAAGAUUUAUUAAAUGAAAUAAAACAACUUAAAGAGGAAAUAAAGAAAAAAGAUGAAAAGAUCCAACUAUUAGAACUUCAGCUUGCAACUCAGCAUAUCUGCCACCAAAAAUGUAAAGAGGAAAAAUGCACUUAUGCUGAUAAAUAUACCCAAACACCCUGGAGACGAAUUCCUCCUCAAGUACUACAGCCUUCCAGCAGCCUUCCCAGACCCACAGACCACACCCAGGGAAAACUAAUAAAGCCACAGCGUAUCGAGGCCCGCAGUGAAUGCGCAAUCCAAGACAUGCAUCAGGGUGGUGCACAUCCGGAAGAAAGCUUUACACACGUCUUGCACCAAGAAAGCAACUAUGGUUUGGAAGAGCAGCCUUUUUCAUCAGGCCCACAAUUAACAAUGGAUGUGGCUAAGAGUACACCUUCUGAAGCAAACUUAAACAUUACUGUAAAUGCUCAAGAGCCUUAUCAUUUGGCAAACAAUCAAAUUAGUGACAUGCAGUUUAUACCCACUUCUCUUCAGACACCUCCCGAGUCAAGUACAGUAGACCAGGCUAAGAGAGUUGGAAGAAAUCAGUCUCUGCCAGUGGGUUAUAUGUCUCAGCCCAAGUCCUUGCAGCUUUUAAAGCCAUCCAUAUUGAGUUCUUUGGUACCGCCUCCAGUUUCUGAAUCAUCUCCAAGUAGGACUCCCACUUGUAAAAAGUCACCAAUAAUCACAACAUGUAAUUCAGCAAAACUUCAGCCAACAUCUAGUCAAACAAAUCUUGCAAAUAAUCAGAAUCUGAAAGCAUCUAAGCUCCGCCCCCCCUCAGGCUCUUUCAAACAAAAACAAACAAACAGCCCCCAACUAGAGCCUCAAAGCUUCCAGGCCAAGACAAGCAUCCCAAGGCCACUAACACAACGAAAGGAAAUCAUGCAGAAUCCAAAUGGCAAUUUGCAUUCUGGGGAUUGUUUGGCCUCUAAUCGAUAUUCUCGUCUUCCUAAACCAAAGAUACAUUAAGUACAUAGCCAUCACCUGCCAAUUUGUUUCUUAAAAACAAUCUCUUCUGUAAUAGCUUUAUGUGCAGCUUGCAGCUUGCUACUGUGGUGGAGGUUCCAUUGAAAGCCUGCAAAUCUUAAAUUAAAAUGUGGAAGCUUC